GGGGCGGAGUAGCCAA
rnacentral:tRNA from 1 species